GAUGAACGCUGGCGGCGUGCCUAAUACAUGCAAGUCGAGCGAACAGACGAGGAGCUUGCUCCUCUGACGUUAGCGGCGGACGGGUGAGUAACACGUGGAUAACCUACCUAUAAGACUGGGAUAACUUCGGGAAACCGGAGCUAAUACCGGAUAAUAUAUUGAACCGCAUGGUUCAAUAGUGAAAGACGGUUUUGCUGUCACUUAUAGAUGGAUCCGCGCCGCAUUAGCUAGUUGGUAAGGUAAUGGCUUACCAAGGCAACGAUGCGUAGCCGACCUGAGAGGGUGAUCGGCCACACUGGAACGGAGACACGGUCCAGACUCCUACGGGAGGCAGCAGUAGGGAAUCUUCCGCAAUGGGCGAAAGCCUGACGGAGCAACGCCGCGUGAGUGAUGAAGGUCUUCGGAUCGUAAAACUCUGUUAUUAGGGAAGAACAAAUGUGUACGUAACUAUGCACGUCUUGACGGUACCUAAUCAGAAAGCCACGGCUAACUACGUG
rnacentral:rRNA from 1 species